UUGGCAGAUUAUGUGGACAGCCNGACUGGAGACUGAGAUCAGCAGAUAGGUUCUGGAUUGUUUGGUUUUUCGUUCCUCCAUCCCAUAAAUCUAACUGCCUCUUCAGAAGCACUCUUGGCUAGAAUCCCAGUGGAGAACUUGGGUACAGGCAAAAUUUUCAAAAUUUUCAACAGCUCCUCUAUUAAGUCUUGAAAGAAAAACUACAUUUGGAAUUGUAUGCAGAACUCCUGCUGAAAC
rnacentral:lncRNA from 1 species